AAGUCGUAACAAGGUUUCCGUAGGUACGUUAUCAACUCUCUCUACCCCCUUUUGUGACAGCUUAACUAACAUUUUUUCUAGGUGAACCUGCGGAAGGAUCAUUAAUGGGUUACUGAACUUCGGUUCAAUCUCCAACCCUGUGUCAAAAUUUACCAUGUUGCUUUGGGCAGGCCAGUCUUUGGGCUGCCGGGGGGUCUUUAGACCUCUGGUUCGUGUCUGCCAGUGGCCCCAAUUUAAACUUCUUUUUAAAGCUAUUCUGUCUGAGUCACAAGUUAAAUUUUGAUAAAAU
rnacentral:misc_RNA from 1 species